AUGCACGCUGGCGGCGUGCCUAAUACAUGCAAGUCGAGCGAACAGACGAGGAACUUGCUCCUCUGACGUUAGCGGCGGACGGGUGAGUAACACGUGGAUAACCUACCUAUAAGACUGGGAUAACUUCGGGAAACCGGAGCUAAUACCGGAUAAUAUAUUGAACCGCAUGGUUCAAUAGUGAAAGACGGUUUUGCUGUCACUUAUAGAUGGAUCCGCGCCGCAUUAGCUAGUUGGUAAGGUAACGGCUUACCAAGGCAACGAUGCGUAGCCGACCUGAGAGGGUGAUCGGCCACACUGGAACUGAGACACGGUCCAGACUCCUACGGGAGGCAGCAGUAGGGAAUCUUCCGCAAUGGGCGAAAGCCUGACGGAGCAACGCCGCGUGAGUGAUGAAGGUCUUCGGAUCGUAAAACUCUGUUAUUAGGGAAGAACAAAUGUGUAAGUAACUAUGCACGUCUUGACGGUACCUAAUCAGAAAGCCACGGCUAACUACGUG
rnacentral:rRNA from 1 species